AACAAAACAAACAUCUGCCUCUUCUCAAUACAUAGCGACACGAUAUUUCUCCUCCAUAGCCACCAUCAUCUCCUCCUCUCCUCCACAACUCCGUCGCCUUCCAUCACUCCGCCGCCCAUCUCCUCUCCACAGCCCCAUCUCCUCUCCACAGCCCCAUCUCCUCGUCGACAGCCCCAUCUCCUCCACAAUCCGCCGUUACUCCUCCACAAUCCGCCGGUCUCCUCCUCCACAGCCGCCCUCCACAUCGUCGGCCUCCACCACAGCCCCAUCUCCUCCACAAUCCGCCACCACUCCUCCACGCUCUGUUUCAUUUCAAUCUCUGCCGACGACGACUACCUACAUAUGAUGUUGGAACAUUUAAAAAAGUGAACCCCUUGGAAAAUUUUUUGGAUCCGCCACUGCUAAUCUAGUUUCAAUCAGAUCAAAGAAACGAAUUCCAUAGUCGUUCUCGUUAACACAAUGCGGCGCAACAAAGACGAGACGCCUGCGGUAUUUGAUCGUGAGGAACGUUCCGGCGUUAGGUUGUGGUGAUGAAUUGCGGAAAUUGUUCGGCGGAUACGGUGAAAUUGACGAAUUUGUACCGUUGGAUGAUGAAGAUUGUGAACCAUAUACUGAUGUUUAUUGGAUAAAGUUUCAUCAAGUCCACAAUGCUCGGUUUGCCAAAAGGAAGUUGGAUGAAUCAAUUUUUAUUGGAAAUCGGAUUCAAGUUUCAUAUGCACCACAAUACGAGAGCCUUGAUGACACCAAGGAGAAAUUAGAAGGAAGAAGAAAAGAAGUUGUGGCUAGACUUACUCGUAAGUCAUUUAGCAACUAACAUUAUCCUAUAUUUAUUAAAAAGAACAUGUUUACUAUAUGAAAGGAGUGCCACUAUGUUUUGUCUUGGUUGUUUCAGCCGGAAGAUCGAAGGGUCCUUAUGUUUCCAGUGCAGGUUCUACUCCAUCCCACAAUAAUUUUGUUCCGCAGCCAUUAAAUAUUCAACAAAGCGACCCAAGAGAGACGCAACGCCAACAUACCGUCCAUAGUCGAAAUUUACCUUCAAUGGUUUCUUCUAAUCAGGAUUAUUUUCCAGUAGAGUCGAUGAAUCAGACGGUUCGACUGGUCAGGGAAAAACUCAACAAGAUCGAGUCAGAUGUGGACGCUUUGAAAGCAGGGUCUUCCAAGAGACCACGGAAUGACAAUAGACGAAGAAUUUGACAGCCAUUAGCUUGAUUAAUAAACUUCAGUCGUCAAUAUAGAGAUAUUAGCUGCUUAUUUUCCCUGGUUCAUAAUUUUUUUAACCUGAAGCUGGGCAUGCUUUUGGUUAAACCACAGCUUAGCCUCUUGUGCCUAUGCAGAGCAUUUUAUUGGUGAUAUGAAAGAAAGGCCUUUUUUCUUUCUUUUUUAGUUUAUUCAAGGAUUUAAGUUCGAGAUUUGUAAUGUUAUUUCGACUUUAUUGAAGGUGUAGUGAAAGAAAAGCAAAAUGGAUGCAAACGGGAAGCUCAUAGGAAGGCCAAUUAGCCGAUUUUAAAGUAAUUGAGGCAAGGCUUUAAAAUAUAGUUUCAUUUGGUAUGAAAAAUAGUUUUCUGAAGGGGUAUUUUGAAUGUGAAUGGAUUAAGGAGAUACACUUCCAUUAGAGGUGGCAAAAACACAAAAUGGGUAGGUUGGGCUAAAUUAUUGGUACGGGUCGAAACAGGCCAGGAGAGAUUUUGGGAUACUUUGUUCCCAACUUUUUAUGGUUUAAAUGAGUAUGAAACUUCUCAAUAAAUGUAUAAUCUUUUGAAUGAAGUGA